rnacentral:rRNA from 1 species
GAUGAACGCUGGCGGCGUGCCUAAUACAUGCAAGUCGAGCGAACGGACGAGAAGCUUGCUUCUCUGAUGUUAGCGGCGGACGGGUGAGUAACACGUGGAUAACCUACCUAUAAGACUGGGAUAACUUCGGGAAACCGGAGCUAAUACCGGAUAAUAUUUUGAACCGCAUGGUUCAAAAGUGAAAGACGGUCUUGCUGUCACUUAUAGAUGGAUCCGCGCUGCAUUAGCUAGUUGGUAAGGUAACGGCUUACCAAGGCAACGAUGCAUAGCCGACCUGAGAGGGUGAUCGGCCACACUGGAACUGAGACACGGUCCAGACUCCUACGGGCGGCAGCAGUAGGGAAUCUUGCGCGAUGGGCGAAAGCCUGACGGAGCAACGCCGCGUGGGUGAUGAAGGUCUUCGGAUCGUAAAACUCUGUUAUUAGGGAAGAACAUUUUUGUAAGUAACUGUGCACAUCUUGACGGUACCUAAUCAAAAAGCCCCGGCUAACUACGUG